ACGCAGCUGCCCCUUUGAAGCGGAUCCGUGAAGUAAGGGAUGGGGAGACGUAGGCUGACGUGGAGAGCUCUCCCGGCGGCGGCGGGAGGUGCGGUCACGUGGCCCGACGUUGACAUUGACGAGCGGCGGGCCCGGGCCCCGCUCCCUUUGUGGCCGUCGCAAAGGGGGAGAGCAACAGCUCGUCGCCAGCGCCCGGGGGCGAGCCCAGCGCAGGUUGGCCGGGGGGGAGCCCGGGGGGACACACUGCCGCCCUGCCACUGCCCCAGACUUAGCGGCCCGGCCCCUGGCACCCUCUGGCUCUGGAGCAGAGAGGCUUAUCAAUCCCCCCCGGGGUUAGUAAUUGGGACUUCCGCGUUGAGGAAGGGGGAAAACCGAGCCUUCCCCUCGCUAACCUCACUGAGAACAACAUAAACAAAGGCAGGCAUUUCGUUUGGAGAAGCAAAAUGCAUUCGUUACGCCUUCCCGUGUAUUUCGACCGGAUUAGAGAGGGUAAAGCCGCUCUGAAUUUGGAACCUCUGCUGCAGGACGGUUUUGCAAAGGAGAAGCGUGGCCAAGAGGAGAGAAAGCUACUUCUAGAUAGAAAACUUCAUGUUUCGGCAGCUAUUCUCUUGCUCACCAGCAGCCAAACGAUUUGCUGUUCUGACAGCCUCCCGGCGCCUUCCCAACGCGCGGGGAGUCUCUCACAAUGUGUCUCCUCACCCCCCGGGUUCCCAGCCCAGAGCUCCAGGGUCUCGGGGCUCUGAACACCUCGAAAAUGUUUAUAUUUACUGCUCGGAGCCUAGUUCUGAAAGACAAUGCUGGCGGGUUUGGCAACAAGACGGUCGCAAGCAGAGGUUUUCUCACACCAUGUAGUAUAUCAGAAAUUGAUUGACUGACGAUGCUUCUAUAAAUGUCUCUUUUUCUCCCCUUGAACACUCUCGGAGUCUUUCCCAGCACAAGAAAACAUACACACAAUGACUUAUUUCCCUCCCCCGUCUAUCCAGACACAGGUGCAAGAGACUUUUAGCAAACUUAGUCUGCGGGAGAGGGGUGUCUAGAGCCAGCGGCGGGCUCUAAACUGGUGCGAAAGCAAAUUUUCUUGGUUAUAAUGCGCCGGUACAGAAGAGCAGGCACUUUCCCCCCACUCCCACCCAGACCCACAAAGCGCCGUGUCGUUAGCACCGUUUGCAGUAAGCAGGUACCAGUCCCCUUUCGUGACAAUGUAUUUUAUGAAGAACUAAGCAGAGCGGUUUAGGGAAACAUCCCCGGUGAUCCCUUGAAAGUGAGGUGCUAGUAAUCGACAGUUAUCCCUGCAGACGGCCAUAUCCCAGGCGAUGUUC